GGGCGAAGAUGGGUCCCGGCGGCGGUUGCAGGGAGAGGGAAAGCCUCGGAGCCCUAAGGUCUGAUGAUCGUUGAAUUUUCUUUGUCGUAUGUGGGUUGUUUGUUCUUAUCCUUUUGUAUUUCUGUUUUCUGACUUGUAAUGUGAGGAGGUUACUCUCUUCCAAGUCUUACAUCCUAGGAAUUAUGCUUAUGUUUAUUCUCCUGCAAAACACCUAUUGAAGAAGAAAAAAAUCCACCCCAUCAAACCAGAUACCAUGAAUUUUCCUUUUUACUCUGCUGCCCCUGGUCCUGAACAGAACUUUCAGUGUGACACACAAAGCAGGCAUUUAAUGCUGUAAAUUUCCCUCAAAGCACCACUUUUGCUGCAUCCCACACAUUUUGCAUAUGCCUGAGCAACAUUGUGACUGGCUAUGUGUGCAGCAAAAUGUGCUUCCUCACAGCUGUACACAAUGAGGCAGUUAUAAAAACGUUCAUGAAGCCCUGCCUAUAGAGUGAAUUUUUGGAGAAAACCCACUGUUCAUCAAUGGGGCAGUGGGAAUUUAGA